UUAGGUCUUGGGGUUUAUAAAUUAUUUAAUAAAGUUUUAUUUUAACUUACGGUCUUUAUUUGUUGUUUUUUUACAUGUGUUUAUUAGUUUAAAUAGGACAAAAUUGCAGUACUUAAUUUUGAAAAAUUAUUAAUUUAAGUUUCAGUAAAUAAUUUAAGUUUUAAUUAAAUUUGUGCCAGCAAUUGCGGUUAUACAAAUAAUGCAAUAAAUAUUUUUUGGUUAGUAAUAAAUUAUUUAUAUAUAUAUUUAUAUUGAAGUUAUUAGGUGAAAUUUUAAUUUUAAUGUAAUUUUAUUAUUGUUUUUUGAUUUUACUAAAGUUUUAAUUAAACUAGGAUUAGAUACCCUAUUAUUAUAAAUCGUAAAUUUAAUACUUGAUUAUUAUUAGUUAUGUUCUUUAAAAUUAAAAAAUUUGGCGGUAUUUUAGUCUUUUUAGAGGAACCUGUCCCGUAAUUGAUAGUCCACGAGAAUUUUUACUUUUUCUUUAAGUUUGUAUAUCGUCGUUAUUAGAGUAUUUCUUAAGAAAAAGAAUUUUCAAUUUUUAUUAUUAUAAUUUAAUUCAGAUCAAGGUGUAGCUUAUGAAAAAGUGGAGAUGGGUUACAAUAAAUUUAUUUUUGGUGUAUUAUUUUGAAUUUUAAUAUUAAAUUGGAUUUAAAUGUAAUAAUUUCUAUUUUGUUAUUAUGAUUUUAGCUCUAGAAUAUGCACAUAUUGCCCGUCGCUCUCAUUUAAUUUGAGAUAAGUCGUAACAUAGUAGGUGUACUGGAAAGUGUAUCUAGAAAUAUU
rnacentral:ncRNA from 1 species